rnacentral:rRNA from 1 species
CCUACGGGAUGCAGCAGUGAGGAAUAUUGGUCAAUGGACGAGAGUCUGAACCAGCCAAGUAGCGUGAAGGAUGACUGCCCUAGGGGUGGUAAACUUCUUUUAUAAAGGAAUAAAACGAGGCACGUGUGCCUUUUUGCAUGUACUUUAUGAAUAAGGAUCGGCUAACUCAGUGCCAGCAGCCGCUGUAAUACGGAGGAUCCGAGCGUUACCCGGAUUUAUUGGGUGUAAAGGGAGCGUAGAUGGGUUUUUAAGUCAGUUGUGAAAGUUUGCGGCUCAACCGUAAAAUUGCAAUUGAUACUGGCAGUCUAGAGUACAGUUGAGGUAGGCGGAAUUCGUGGUGUAGCGGUGAAAUGCUUAGAUAUCACGAAGAACCCCGAUUGCGAAGGCAGCUUACUAAACUGUGACUGACAUUGAUGCUCGAAAGUGUGGGUAUCAAACAGGAUUAGAUACCCGAGUAGUC